GACGAACGCUGGCGGCGUGCCUAAUACAUGCAAGUCGAACGCAGUGGGGACGGGUGAGUAACCCGUGGGUAACCUCCCAUCAGAGGGGAUAACACUGGGAAACAGGUGCUAAACCGAUACUGAUGGAUGGACCCGCGGUGCAUUAGCUAGUUGGUGGUGUAACGGCUCACCAAGGCCACGAUGCAUAGCCGGUCUGAGAGGGUGAUCAGCCACACUGGGACUGAGACACGGCCCAGACUCCUACGGGAGGCAGCAGUGGGGAAUAUUGGGCAAUGGACGAAAGUCUGACCGAGCAACGCCGCGUGAGUGAAGAAGGUUCUCGGGUCGUAAAGCACUGUUGUUAGAGAAGCGUUAUCUAACCAGGAAGCCCCGGCUAACUACGUGCCAGCAGCCGCGGUAAUUC
rnacentral:rRNA from 1 species